UUGAGAUUUUGUUUAUUCCUAUCACUUAGUGAGUGUUGUUUAUUAAAAUUUUAAGUUAGCUGAGCUGAUGUUUUCUUGUGUUCUCUAUGGUUUUCUGAUUCGUGAUCUAGAAAAUGCAAGUUUUUAUUAGGUUUCAAUCGACCAAAUUGCAUGUAUCUGCUGUUAUGUUAUUGUGGCUUAGAAAAUGUAGGAAAAUUGGAUUUUGAUUUUGCCGUGUGUGAUCAUUUGCUUUAGUGGCACAUCUGUUGUUGUUGUAUAUUUGUUUUUCUGGUUUAUUUGUAUGCAAAUAGACAAUGCCAUUGUUUUAAGUGCAAAUAUAGGGUAUGGGAAGCUCUUCCUCUUCACAAAGACAAGUGAAUGAUAAUGCAAGUGCAAACCAUAUGGUGCCAUCUCCAAAUCGCCAGAAGCCAUUCAAACAUAACAGUCCAAAUGUGUUUUCUAAUGGUGGUCACCCACAGCCGCCUGCUUCCCAAGCUUUGACAGCAACAACUGGGUCCCAUUAUCAACCUCCAAUCGAACAUGCACAAAGAAGUGCAUUUGUGUCUAAUGAUCGUCCACAGCAGCGUAAUUCAUUUAGAAAUCGGAACAGUGGUUCACAUCAGCGUGGAGAUGGGUCUAACCAUCAUAAUUAUGGGAACAGACGGGAUCAGGACUGGAAUACUCAACGGAAUUUCAAUGGUAGAGACCCCCAUAUGCCACCACGAGUUGGUCCUAGAUUUCCAAGACCUCCACCUCCACCUCCACCUCAUAAUGCUGCUCAAUUUAUUCACACAGCACCAGUUAGGGCAUUUGGUGGUCCUAUUGGUUUCCAUGGUAAGUACGCUGUAUUAGAGAUUAUUUCUUUCAGGAUAUGCAUAUUCUGUGACGACUGUAUUCGUUUUCAGAUGUAGUUCCUCCAAUAGUAUAUCUCCAACAACCACCUUCACAUCCAAAUUUACUAAGAGGGGUUCAUUAUGGUCCUCCAAUGCCUCCUCAGACAUUGUUCUACACAGGUCCAGACCCUCAGUUGCAUACUAGGAUAGUCACUCAGAUUAAUUACUAUUUUAGGUACUGCUUUCAAUGUGGUCUGUUAGUAAAUUCUUCUUUCUUUAACCGGUUUUUUUUAUUAAUAAUAAUCUUAUCGUAUAUUUUUCAAGUAAGUUAAUUUUUUUGAGAGUAAUAAUAAAAGAAAACCCCCAAAACACAAAACAGCCGCAAUAGUUAUGGGAACUGGGCGUAUUUUCUUGACGUGAAUAACUAAAGAAAAGUCCAAAUAGAAAGGAAACAGGAACAAACGCAGGGGCAUUUACGUAAACUCAUGUGUGACACUCUCACACAGAGGAACAAAACCUGGCACCCGAAGCGUUCUACGAAACUUUCUUCGAAACGCAUUUUCUUCUCUCUUUCAACAUAACACAACAAACCAAAAGCUCCUCUCUUCACUGCGAUCAGAUCGCUCAAAAUUUUGGAACCCUAAAUUUGCUGCAUUUUGGUUUCUCAAUUUUGUCGAAACCCUAGAAGCCACUUUGCGUGCAAAUCAAUAAUCUCCGUCUUCCUUUUGCUUUGAUCAUCAAUCUCCUUCCAGUAGCAAACGCUGUGAGAUUAGAGGUUAAUAUUAACCCUAAACACCACACCAUGGCCAUGGCUGGUAACCACUCAGCUGUCUCACCGUGGAAUCAGGUUGUCCGCGGUGGCGAGUCCGAGUCUGUACUGGCAGCUCCAUCUUCUGCGAUGGAAUCGGCGGUGGCCGUUGAAUCUUCGCUCCCUUCUGGUUCCACCGCCGUGUCAACUUCUCUGUCGGUAGAAGAUUCCUGCUCCACCGCUGAGAGCUCCAAAAACGGUGGGAACAAGGGCCGAGCUGCGAAGAAGCCUGCCUGGAACAAGCCAUCAUCCAAUGGCGGAGCUUCGGAAGUUAAGCUGGUAAUGGACGCAGUCUCUUGGCCUGCACUGUCCGAGUCUACCAGGGUUGCUAUUAAAUCAGAAUCAUCAUCAAAGGGUUUGUUGGAUGGAUCAUCCUCUGUUCUUCAAUCGCAGGUUCGGUUGAGAUUUUGUUUAUUCCUAUCACUUAGUGAGUGUUGUUUAUUAAAAUUUUAAGUUAGCUGAGCUGAUGUUUUCUUGUGUUCUCUAUGGUUUUCUGAUUCGUGAUCUAGAAAAUGCAAGUUUUUAUUAGGUUUCAAUCGACCAAAUUGCAUGUAUCUGCUGUUAUGUUAUUGUGGCUUAGAAAAUGUAGGAAAAUUGGAUUUUGAUUUUGCCGUGUGUGAUCAUUUGCUUUAGUGGCACAUCUGUUGUUGUUGUAUAUUUGUUUUUCUGGUUUAUUUGUAUGCAAAUAGACAAUGCCAUUGUUUUAAGUGCAAAUAUAGGGUAUGGGAAGCUCUUCCUCUUCACAAAGACAAGUGAAUGAUAAUGCAAGUGCAAACCAUAUGGUGCCAUCUCCAAAUCGCCAGAAGCCAUUCAAACAUAACAGUCCAAAUGUGUUUUCUAAUGGUGGUCACCCACAGCCGCCUGCUUCCCAAGCUUUGACAGCAACAACUGGGUCCCAUUAUCAACCUCCAAUCGAACAUGCACAAAGAAGUGCAUUUGUGUCUAAUGAUCGUCCACAGCAGCGUAAUUCAUUUAGAAAUCGGAACAGUGGUUCACAUCAGCGUGGAGAUGGGUCUAACCAUCAUAAUUAUGGGAACAGACGGGAUCAGGACUG
rnacentral:lncRNA from 1 species